ACGCUCGACACCUACGGGAUGCAGCAGUUGGGAAUAUUGGACAAUGGAGGAAACUCUGAUCCAGUGACGCCGCGUGAAGGAAGAAGGUCUUCGGAUUGUAAACUUAUUUUGUCAGGGAAGAAAAAAUGACUGUACCUGAAGAAAAAGCACCGGCUAACUACGUGCCAGCAGCCGCGGUAAUCUGAGGCGGGCUGCGAAGGC
rnacentral:rRNA from 1 species